rnacentral:tRNA from 1 species
UACUCUGUAGCUCAGCUGGUAAAGCGUUUGUCUAAGGUGACCGGAGGUGUUAGGUUCGAUCCCUCUCAGGGCCC